GUUCCCCUGCACAUGCUCUCUUGCCUGCUGUCAUGCAACGUGUCUUUGCUCCUCCUUCACCUUCCGCCAUGAUUGUGAGGCUUCCCCAGCCAUGUGGAAACAUAUUCGCAGAGCACCCACUAGGUGCCAGUAAAUGUAUGAGAAGUCCUGUGGAAUAAGACUGAAGUUGUCCUUGCCUUCAAGCAACUUGCAAUUGCCUAAGAACACAGUUUAAAACCACAAAACUAAGCCUUGGAAAUCACAUGCUGUCAUUUCUGCGAUCGGUCAUAACCAGUCCUGAUUCCAUGUUAGAGGAGACUACAUAAGGACACAGGUACCAGAAGCUGAUAUAAGUCUUUUGAGGUACAGCCUGGCACAAAAAGGAUGAGAUUUGUGGGCAGAAUUUUGGAAGAAUAUCUCCCGAGAGAACAUUCAGGACAGAGCCCUACAUCUCCCCGAGAAGAGGUGAAAGAGACUGCUCCUAUCUGCUUCUGCAUCAAACUUCAGGCUCAAGACCUGUCCAGAAAAAAAAAUGUCUUCUUUCAGGGAUGAACUGCUGUCCUCAUCAGACGCCUUAUUUUGUUUAGAAUUCAAGCUCACUUGACAGGUUAUUGUGAAGAUUAAAUGAAUUAAUACAUGUGAAGCAACUGUAACAACUCUUGACAUGCGGUAAGCACUGUAAAUUGUGAACCAUUUAGGAAUGCCCCAUUGGAGAUAAUUUAGGUCACUCAGAAAUUGUAAAUUUUGAAAGGUGAAAGACCGUGUUGUUCAAGUUAGGGCUGAACUGGAACUGUAAAUCUGAUGGUUGAAUAAUAAACAGAGUAAUUA
rnacentral:lncRNA from 1 species